UUAAAGGGUGUUUGCUACUUGAAUGGCAUGCGUGCUUAAAUGCGCGUAGGGUAUGGAUAUCAAGACAUACCCAGCACACAAUUUUUAAAAUUAACGGGCUGCUGGCUGUCAAUGUGCACUGGCGCUCGU
rnacentral:snRNA from 1 species